GAUGAACGCUAGCGGCAGGCUUAACACAUGCAAGUCGAGGGGUAUAGGUUUUCGGACCUAGAGACCGGCGCACGGGUGCGUAACGCGUAUGCAAUCUACCUUUCACAGAGGGAUAGCCCAGAGAAAUUUGGAUUAAUACCUCAUAGUAUUAUAGAAUGGCAUCAUUUUAUAAUUAAAGUCACAACGGUGAAAGAUGAGCAUGCGUCCCAUUAGCUAGUUGGUAUGGUAACGGCAUACCAAGGCAACGAUGGGUAGGGGUCCUGAGAGGGAGAUCCCCCACACUGGUACUGAGACACGGACCAGACUCCUACGGGAGGCAGCAGUGAGGAAUAUUGGUCAAUGGGCGCAAGCCUGACGCAGCGACGCCGCGUGGGUGAUGAAGGCCCUCGGGUUGUAAAGCCCUGUGGGGAGGGAUGAAUAAGGUAUGGCUAAUACCUAUACUGAUGACAGUACCUCCUUAGCAAGCACCGGCUAACUCUGUG
rnacentral:rRNA from 1 species